GGGGUUGUAGCUCAGUGGUAGAGCGCUUUCCUAGUAUGUGUGAGGCACUGGGUUCAAUCCUCAGCACCACA
rnacentral:tRNA from 1 species